rnacentral:rRNA from 1 species
UACGUAGGGUGCAAGCGUUGUCCGGAUUUAUUGGGCGUAAAGGGCGCGUAGGCGGUCACGCACGUCCGUUGUGAAAUCGCUCGGCUCAACUGGGCGGGGUCAGCGGAUACGGCGUGGCUGGAGCAAGCUAGGGGGCAAUGGAAUUCCCGGUGUAGUGGUGGAAUGCGUAGAUAUCGGGAGGAACACCAGUGGCGAAGGCGGUUGCCUGGAGCUUUGCUGACGCUGAUGCGCGAAAGCGUGGGGAGCGAUCCGG